GACGGCUCAGCCUGUAGAGCAUGAGACUCUUACUCUCAGGGUUGUGGGUUUGAGCCCCACGUUGGGCA